CUGGAGAGGCGUCCUCAGCGACGGACCGAGCCCAAGUCCCCUGGAAAGGGGCGCCUGGGAGGGUGAGAGCCCCGUCCGGCCCGGACCCUGUCGCAUCACGAGGCGCCGUCAACGAGUCGGGUUGUUUGGGAAUGCAGCCCAAAUCGGGCGGUAGACUCCGUCCAAGGCUAAAUACAGGCGAGAGACCGAUAGCGAACAAGUACCGCGAGGGAAAGAUGAAAAGGACUUUGAAAAGAGAGUCAAAGAGUGCUUGAAAUUGCCGGGAGGGAAGCGGAUGGGGGCCGGCGAUGCGCCCCGGCCGUAUGCGGAACGGCUCUUGCUGGUCCGCCGCUCGGCUCGGGGCGUGGACUGUUGUCGGCUGCGUCGGCGGCCAAAGCCCGGGGGCCUUAGGUGCCCCCGGUUGCCGUCGUCGGCACGGCCGGUACCCGCGCGCCGAAAGGCGUGUCCCUCGGGGCACUGCGCUGCAACGGCCUGCGGGCUCCCCAUCCGACCCGUCUUGAAACACGGACCAAGGAGUCUGACAUGCGUGCGAGUCGACGGGUUCUGAAACCUGGGAUGCGCAAGGAAGCUGACGAGCGGGAGGUCCUCACGGGCCGCACCGCUGGCCGACCCUGAUCUUCUGUGAAGGGUUCGAGUUGGAGCACGCCUGUCGGGACCCGAAAGAUGGUGAACUAUGCCUGAGCGGGGCGAAGCCAGAGGAAACUCUGGUGGAGGCUCGAAGCGAUACUGACGUGCAAAUCGAUCGUCA
rnacentral:rRNA from 1 species